rnacentral:rRNA from 1 species
UAGGGAAUCUUCCGCAAUGGACGAAAGUCUGACGGAGCAACGCCGCGUGAGUGAAGAAGGAUUUCGGUUCGUAAAACUCUGUUGUUAGGGAAGAAAAAAUGUAUAGUAACUAUAUACAAAAGAGACGGUACCUAACCAGAAAGCCACGGCUAACUACGUGCCAGCAGCCGCGGUAAUACGUAGGUGGCAAGCGUUGUCCGGAAUUAUUGGGCGUAAAGCGCGCGCAGGUGGUUUAGAAAGUCUGAUGUGAAAGCCCACGGCUCAACCGUGGAGGGUCAUUGGAAACUAAUAAACUUGAGUGCAGGAGAGAAAAGUGGAAUUCCUAGUGUAGCGGUGAAAUGCGUAGAGAUUAGGAGGAACACCGGUGGCGAAAGCGGCUUUUUGGCCUGCAACUGACACUGAGGCGCGAAAACGUGGGGAGCAAACAGG